rnacentral:rRNA from 1 species
UACGGAGGGUGCAAGCGUUGUUCGGAAUCACUGGGCGUAAAGGGCGCGUAGGCGGUUUGAUAAGUCAGAUGUGAAAGCCCACGGCUUAACCGUGGAAGUGCAUUUGAAACUGUCAGACUUGAGUACCAGAGGGGAAAGUGGAAUUCCCGGUGUAGAGGUGAAAUUCGUAGAUAUCGGGAGGAAUACCGGUGGCGAAGGCGACUUUCUGGCUGAGUACUGACGCUGAGGCGCGAAAGCGUGGGGAGCAAACAGGAUUAGAUACCCUGGUAGUCCACGCUGUAAACGAUGUCAACUAGAUGUAGGGGGUGUUGAUCCCUUCUGUGUCGCAGCUAACGCAUUAAGUUGACCGCCUGGGGAGUACGGUCGCAAGAUUAAA